AGACGAAAUCUGUACGGCUUGCUUGCUCAUCUCCCAAGUAGCACGGGGCCCGAGAAAUCCCGUGUGAAUCUGGCGGGACCACCCGCUAAGCCUAAAUAUUCCCUAGUGACCGAUAGCGGAUAGUACCGUGAGGGAAUGGUGAAAAGUACCGCGGGAGCGGAGUGAAAUAGUACCUGAAACCGUGUGCCUACAAGCCGUGGGAGCGUCGU
rnacentral:rRNA from 1 species